GAUGAACGCUAGCGGAAGGCCUAAUACAUGCAAGUCGAACGGGCAUAUUGAUUUCGGUUGAUAUGUUAGUGGCGCACGGGUGAGUAACGCGUAUACAACCUGCCUUAUAUUGGGGGAUAGCCCUGGGAAACUGGGAGUAAUACCGCAUAAUAUUAUUGAGAGGCAUCUUUUGAUAAUUAAAGCUGAGGCGAUAUAAGAUGGGUGUGCGUCUGAUUAGGUAGUUGGUAGGGUAACGGCCUACCAAGCCGACGAUCAGUAGGGGGUGUGAGAGCAUGGCCCCCCCACACGGGUACUGAGACACGGACCCGACUCCUACGGGAGGCAGCAGUAAGGAAUAUUGGUCAAUGGAGGGAACUCUGAACCAGCCAU
rnacentral:rRNA from 1 species